rnacentral:rRNA from 1 species
CCUACGGGAGGCUGCAGUGGGGAAUAUUGGACAAUGGGGGCAACCCUGAUCCAGCCAUGCCGCGUGUGUGAAGAAGGCCCUCGGGUUGUAAAGCACUUUCAGUGAGGAAGAACGCCUGGUGGUUAAUACCCAUCAGGAAAGACAUCACUCACAGAAGAAGCACCGGCUAACUCCGUGCCAGCAGCCGCGGUAAUACGGAGGGUGCGAGCGUUAAUCGGAAUUAUUGGGCGUAAAGCGCGCGUAGGUGGCUUGAUAAGCCGGUUGUGAAAGCCCCGGGCUCAACCUGGGAACGGCAUCCGGAACUGUCAAGCUAGAGUGCAGGAGAGGAAGGUAGAAUUCCCGGUGUAGCGGUGAAAUGCGUAGAGAUCGGGAGGAAUACCAGUGGCGAAGGCGGCCUUCUGGACUGACACUGACACUGAGGUGCGAAAGCGUGGGUAGCAAACAGGAUUAGAUACCCCAGUAGUC